AACGAACGCUGGCGGCAUGCCUAACACAUGCAAGUCGAACGAGACCUUCGGGUCUAGUGGCGCACGGGUGCGUAACGCGUGGGAAUCUGCCCUUGGGUGCGGAAUAACAGUUAGAAAUGACUGCUAAUACCGCAUAAUGACUCCGGUCCAAAGAUUUAUCGCCCAGGGAUGAGCCCGCGUCGGAUUAGCUAGUUGGUAGGGUAAAAGCCUACCAAGGCAACGAUCCGUAGCUGGUCUGAGAGGAUGUGCAGCCACACUGGGACUGAGACACGGCCCAGACUCCUACGGGAGGCAGCAGUGGGGAAUAUUGGGCAAUGGGCGAAAGCCUGAUCCAGCAAUGCCGCGUGAGUGAUGAAGGCCUUAGGGUUGUAAAGCUCUUUUACCCGUGAUGAUAAUGACAGUACCGGGAGAAUAAGCCCCGGCUAACUCCGUGCCAGCCGCCGCAGUAAAAC
rnacentral:rRNA from 1 species